ensembl:snoRNA
AUCCUUUUGAGGUUCAAAAGCAUGAUGAAUGGAAGUUCAGGUGACUGUAUGACAUGCGUCUCCCUCAAAUCUUGUUACUACAUUGGCACAGUACCUGUCUGACA